rnacentral:lncRNA from 10 species
CUGCCCAUUUUGUUGCUUUCAAAUCUCAGGUCCCGGUGGGCUCAAGAAAAGCAAUCAUUUUGUGCAUGAUCUGGCUUCUAUCUUAUUGUUGAGGUGGAAACAAUGGUAAUAUGGGUGUGUGUAUUUCUACCUUCUAGGUAGAAAUUGAACAAAAGCAUUCUUUGCUAUUAUACCUGGGUUGUUCUUCACUGUUCCCUGGGAAUCUGUUACGGAAAUUAUGCUGAGCUAAUAAUUCUGAUGGGAUGAUCUUCACUCAUGCAGACUGUGGCGUCAUGUAGAAGGAAGGCUAAUAUGGAUGUGAGGUUCAAGAUCAAGAUGGGCAACUGAUGGUCAGACUCCAGUGGUUCUUCAAAACUUUCUAGGAGGUAAACAAGAUGAAAGGGAAAGCACACAAAUUUGCUGGAAUUUGGAAAACACGAACCCUGGAAUUUGGAGGAGUCACUUCCACUGGAAAAUACUUUUAUAUUAUUUAUGGAAGGACUUGCUGCCCAGCCUUGG